AUAUAUUUUUUUUAAUUUAAAUAAUUUAGAAACCGUAAGUUACAUAAACCAAUGAAAAAAAUAUUUGUUUUAUUGUAACAACGGUAUUGUUUCCUCAUUACAUAAAAUGUUGACCAUUCACGAGGCCUUACUAUAGCAAAAAAAUAUUCAUUUGCUUAUCUUAACAAGACAUACUACAAGUUCGAAUACAUUUUAUCGUGACAUUCAAACAUAUUCACCCCUGACGCCGCACGUAUCCACUUUGUUUGAUUUUUUGUUAAAUUAAAAUACAAAACUACAUAGUUUAUAUAAUAUAAAAGAAUAAAUACUUAAUCAAUGUUAUUGUAUGGAUAAUCACCGAUACUUUUUGUUUCGAGAAUGUUUCUUUACGGCUUCAUGUACUAGUGUACUUGUAAAUCGUAAUAAGACUACUGCUAUCCAUAUCAUUUGCUGACAAAACGUUCAAAUUAAAUUACGAAUACUUUUGAAAACGUUUUCGGAGUUAAUUAAUAAAUUUCAGAAUUACCAAUGUGAUAAAGAUGUUUAUAAUUUUAAUAAUGAUAAUAUCAUGUCGACCCAUUAUAAAAUUUCUACGGAAUCCGAAUGAGGGCACACUGUGUACAUUGCGCACUUGUAAGAAUUACGUUGAAUGAAAAUCUUUUGUUAUAGGACACCCGUUUACAAGGCCAUCAUUCCUUAGGCAAUGAACGCGCGCGGUCGCACUCGUUGAGUCGGUGAGGGGGCCCGACGACGUCUUGUGAAUACUUUGUACAUAUAAUAAUGAACUAUAAGUGAUAAAUAUUUUGUCGUACGCUCUAAUUAUAGGAAUAUUUUGUUGUGAAUCGGUACUUCUCAAUUUGUAUUUAUAAAUAAUUAUUUCAAAAUAAAGACUUGUCAGUCUUGA